rnacentral:tRNA from 1 species
GGGGAUUUAGCUCAGCGGUAGAGCGCUUGCCUAGCGAGCGCAAGGCCCUGGGUUCGAUCCCCAGCUCA